rnacentral:rRNA from 1 species
UGCGUAGCCGACCUGAGAGGGUGAUCGGCCACACUGGCACUGAGACACGGCCCAGACUCCUACGGGAGGCAGCAGUAGGGAAUCUUCCGCAGUGGACGAAAGUCUGACAGAGCAACGCCGCGUGAGUGAUGAAGGCUUUCAGGUCGUAAAACUCUGUUGUUAGGGAAGAACAUGUGCUAGUUGAAUAAUCUGGCACCUUGACGGUACCUAACCAGAAAGCCACGGCUAACUACGUGCCAGCAGCCGCGGUAAUACGUAGGUGGCAAGCGUUAUCCGGAAUUAUUGGGCGUAAAGCGCGCGCAGGUGGUUUCUUAAGUCUGAUGUGAAAGCCCACGGCUCAACCGUGGAGGGUCAUUGAAAACUGGAAGACUUGACUGCAGAAGAGGAAAGUGGAAUUCCAUGUGUAGCGGUGAAAUGCGUAGAGAUAUGGAGGAACACCAGUGGCGAAGGCUACUUUCUGGUCUGUAACUGACACUGAGGCGCGAAAGCGUGAGGAGCAAACAGGAUUAGAUACCCUGGUACUCCACGCCGUAAACGAUGACUGCUAGUUGUUAGAGGGUUUCCCCCCCUUUAGUGCUGAAAAUAAACACAAUAAACCACUCCCUCCUGGAGGAAGUACCGCCCGCAAG